rnacentral:rRNA from 1 species
AUUGAACGCUGGCGGCAGGCCUAACACAUGCAAGUCGAGCGGGGUUUUCGGACCUAGCGGCGGACGGGUGAGUAAUGCGUAGGAAGCUACCCGAUAGAGGGGGAUACCAGUUGGAAACGACUGUUAAUACCGCAUAAUGUCUACGGACCAAAGUGUGGGACCUUCGGGCCACAUGCUAUCGGAUGCGCCUACGUGGGAUUAGCUAGUUGGUGGGGUAAUGGCUCACCAAGGCGACGAUCACUAGCUGGUUUGAGAGGAUGGUCAGCCACACUGGAACUGAGACACGGUCCAGACUCCUACGGGAGGCAGCAGUGGGGAAUAUUGGACAAUGGGCGCAAGCCUGAUCCAGCCAUGCCGCGUGUGUGGAGAAGGCCUUCGGGUUGUAAAGCACUUUCAGUAGGGAGGAAGGGUGUUGUGUUAAUAGCACAGCAUUUUGACGUUACCUACAGAAGAAGCACCGGCUAACUCUGUGCCAGCCGCCGCGGUAAAAC